CUCUUACACUAUAUAAAAUUAUGGCUAAGAUAUCUGUAUGGUUAGCCCUACUAAGUUCUAUGCUUUAAGACAUUAGUGGUAAAUAAGGGAACCAGCCGCGGUUAAAUAUAAUUUAGGGCACCAUUUUGCCCUAGGUAAGUGGAACAACUAGUCAGGGAAUUUCCUAUGUCAUGUGUACCCCAAAAGGUAAAAAAAACAGUUUUCCUUGCACUAGUGCCCUCCUCCCUUCCGCCCCCUUCAGUCACUUAUCUGAAUCCAGCGCUGAUGUCCCUUGUCGCUGGGUCAGACUCCGCCCACGCUCCUCCCCUGCCGGCGGGGGAGACCUAAUGUGCAUGCGCAGCAAUUUCCUAUGGGGAUUCUGACGACGCUGGAGGAUGCAUAGCGUGAGGACCUCCAGUGUCGACCAAAAGUCGUCUAAGAAGCCAGAAGUCCCUCUAGUGGCUGUCUAGAGAAGACAGCCACUAGAGAAGAACAUAACCCCGC